rnacentral:sRNA from 1 species
UCUACGCAUCCAGUUACUGCCAGCUGCC